AUGCAAGUCGAACGAAGGCUUCGGCCUUAGUGGCGCACGGGUGCGUAACGCGUGGGAAUCUGCCCCUGGGUUCGGAAUAACAGCGAGAAAUUGCUGCUAAUACCGGAUGAUGACGAAAGUCCAAAGAUUUAUCGCCCAGGGAUGAGCCCGCGUAGGAUUAGCUAGUUGGUGGGGUAAAGGCUCACCAAGGCGACGAUCCUUAGCUGGUCUGAGAGGAUGAUCAGCCACACUGGGACUGAGACACGGCCCAGACUCCUACGGGAGGCAGCAGUGGGGAAUAUUGGACAAUGGGCGAAAGCCUGAUCCAGCAAUGCCGCGUGAGUGAUGAAGGCCUUAGGGUUGUAAAGCUCUUUUACCCGGGAUGAUAAUGACAGUACCGGGAGAAUAAGCUCCGGCUAACUCCGUGCCAGCAGCCGCGGUAAUACGGAGGGAGCUAGCGUUAUUCGGAAUUACUGGGCGUAAAGCGCACGUAGGCGGCUUUGUAAGUUAGAGGUGAAAGCCUGGAGCUCAACUCCAGAAUUGCCUUUAAGACUGCAUCGCUUGAAUCCAGGAGAGGUGAGUGGAAUUCCGAGUGUAGAGGUGAAAUUCGUAGAUAUUCGGAAGAACACCAGUGGCGAAGGCGGCUCACUGG
rnacentral:rRNA from 1 species